UGCCAGCAGCCGCGGUAAUACAGAGGGUGCAAGCGUUAAUCGGAAUUACUGGGCGUAAAGCGUGCGUAGGCGGAUUAUUAAGUCAGAUGUGAAAGCCCCGGGCUCAACCUGGGAAUUGCAUCUGAAACUGGUAGUCUAGAGUAUGGUAGAGGAUAGUGGAAUUCCUAGUGUAGGGGUGAAAUCUGUAGAUAUUAGGAAGAACACCGGUGGCGAAGGCGAACUCCUGGCUAUAUACUGACGCUGAGGCGCGAAAGUGUGGGGAGCGAACAGGAUUAGAUA
rnacentral:rRNA from 1 species